rnacentral:rRNA from 1 species
UACGUAGGGUGCAAGCGUUGUCCGGAAUUAUUGGGCGUAAAGAGCUCGUAGGCGGUCAGUCGCGUCUGCUGUGAAAACUCGGGGCUUAACUCCGGGCCUGCAGUGGGUACGGGCUGACUAGAGUGCGGUAGGGGAGACUGGAAUUCCUGGUGUAGCGGUGAAAUGCGCAGAUAUCGGGAGGAACACCGGUGGCGAAGGCGGUUCUCUGGGCCUUACCUGACACUGAGGAGCGAAAGCGUGGGGAGCGAACAGG